rnacentral:rRNA from 1 species
AGUCGAGCGAACGGACGAGAAGCUUGCUUCUCUGAUGUUAGCGGCGGACGGGUGAGUAACACGUGGAUAACCUACCUAUAAGACUGGGAUAACUUCGGGAAACCGGAGCUAAUACCGGAUAAUAUUUUGAACCGCAUGGUUCAAAAGUGAAAGACGGUCUUGCUGUCACUUAUAGAUGGAUCCGCGCUGCAUUAGCUAGUUGGUAAGGUAACGGCUUACCAAGGCAACGAUGCAUAGCCGACCUGAGAGGGUGAUCGGCCACACUGGAACUGAGACACGGUCCAGACUCCUACGGGAGGCAGCAGUAGGGAAUCUUCCGCAAUGGGCGAAAGCCUGACGGAGCAACGCCGCGUGAGUGAUGAAGGUCUUCGGAUCGUAAAACUCUGUUAUUAGGGAAGAACAUAUGUGUAAGUAACUGUGCACAUCUUGACGGUACCUAAUCAGAAAGCCACGGCUAACUACGUGCCAGCAGCCGCGGUAAUACGUAGGUGGCAAGCGUUAUCCGGAAUUAUUGGGCGUAAAGCGCGCGUAGGCGGUUUUUUAAGUCUGAUGUGAAAGCCCACGGCUCAACCGUGGAGGGUCAUUGGAAACUGGAAAACUUGAGUGCAGAAGAGGAAAGUGGAAUUCCAUGUGUAGCGGUGAAAUGCGCAGAGAUAUGGAGGAACACCAGUGGCGAAGGCGACUUUCUGGUCUGUAACUGACGCUGAUGUGCGAAAGCGUGGGGAUCAAACAGGAUU